GCCUUCGUGGCGUAGUGGUCAGCACACUCGAUGCAUAUUCGAGAGGUCCGUGGUUCGAGUCCCUGCGAGAGCG
rnacentral:tRNA from 1 species